UUAUACUUGGGCUACUAGAACUGGGCUGUGCCGCUGUGGAGUGUGGGCUGUGCAAUUUAUUACUUUAUCAGUAAUCCACUAAUCCAGUAUCAGAUAGACAAAUGUCACAGAUAUUGGAUAAAGUAAUAAAAUAUCAAAAAUUAAAAUCACAAAUUCAAAACUCAAAAACCUAAACCUAAGUUUACCUAAAUUCCUAACCUCUCAAGUCUCAAACUCACUCCGCGGCUCCGCCUCCCCUCCUCUCCCCUCCUCUCCUCUCAGCGUUCUCAGGCUCUCACUAUCUAGUCUAUCUCAAGUCUCAACUCACUGGUCUCUACUCUCUAUCUUCUCAUAACUCAGAAAUCUCUUCGGACUCGCCUCAGAUCACAGUCUCUAUCUUCUCAGAUCAAGGUCACUGAUUCGUGGAUUCGGUCGGAUCGGUCUAUGUCUUCUGAGAUCUUCGGCUUCCGGUCUCAGUUUGUAUUUAGUGUCUAUUCGACAAAAUGGGGAAGUCUGGGAAGAGGCUUUCUGUGUGAGCAGCUACAAUGGACUAAUGGAGGAGUUACUGUUGCAGUGUUGCUGUUGCCAAAUGAUGUUGGAUUGUUGAAUGUUGAUUAAGUUUUUUUAACUUUUUUGUAAUUCUAAUGGAGUAAAGUGAAUUUCUGGAUGUAAUAUUUGUAUAUAGUAUGUUUAUUUAUGUUAUUGUAUUUGUAUUUUUUUUUUUUAAGGGAAAUUCAAAUAAUAUUAAAAAAGUCAACUUCGUCAA